AUGCUCACUUCAAAGCACAUAUACUAAAACUGGAACGAUACAGACAUUAGCAUCGCCCCUGUGCAAGUAUGACAGGCAAAUUCGUGAAGCAUUCCAUAUUAAA